rnacentral:rRNA from 1 species
UUUGCCUACGGGACGCAGCAGUGGGGAAGAUUGGACAAUGGGGGGAACCCUGAUCCUGCGACGCCGCGUGAGUGAAGAAGUAUUUCGGUAUGUAAAGCUCUAUCAGCAGGGAAGAAGGAAAUGACGGUACCUGACUAAGAAGCCCCGGCUAACUACGUGCCAGCAGCCGCGGUAAUACGUAGGGAGCAAGCGUUAUCCGGAUUUACUGGGUGUAAAGGGCGUGUAGGCGGGCAUGCAAUCCAG